rnacentral:rRNA from 1 species
GCUCCGGCCGCCAUGGCGGCCGCGGGAAUUCGAUUAGAGUUUGAUCCAGGCUCAGAUUGAACGCUGGCGGCAUGCCUUACACAUGCAAGUCGAACGGCAGCACGGGAGCAAUCCUGGUUGGCGAGUGGCGCGAAACGGGUUGAGUUAAAUUAUUAUCGGAACCCGUUGCCCCCAGUCGGUGGGGGGGGAAAUAAACGCCAACCCGAAAAGGCCUUGUUGCCUUAAAUUACCCGCAUAACACUCAUCCUUCUGGAUAAAAACGGGGGGGCUUCACCUCCGCCAAGAGCCCUCUCGCGCCGAAUUUGGGAGCCGGCCCGAAUAUCAAGAAUUUAGCUAGUUUGGGUGGGGAUAAAAGGCCCCAACCCAAGGCGACGAUUCUGUAGCUGGUCCUGGAGAGGACCGAACCAGCCACACCUGGGAACCUGAAGACACGGUUCCAGACUCCUACGGGAAGCAACCAGUGGGCAAUUUUGGACAAUGGGCGCCAAGCCUGAAUCAAGCAAUGCCGCGUG